rnacentral:rRNA from 1 species
AUUGAACGCUGGCGGCAGGCCUAACACAUGCAAGUCGAGCGGAGCGGCGGACGGGUGAGUAAUGCCUAGGACUCUGCCUGGUCGUGGGGGAUAACGUCCGGAAACGGGCGCUAAUACCGCCUACUAUCAGAUUAGCCUACGUCGGCUUAGCUAGUUGGUGGGGUAAAGGCCUACCAAGGCGACGAUCCGUAACUGGUCUGAGAGGAUGAUCAGUCACACAGGAAGUGAGACAGGGUCCAGACUACUACGGGAGGCAGCAGUGGGGAAUAUUGGACGAUGGGCGAAAUCCGGAACCAGCCAUGCCGCGUGUGUGAAGAAGGUCUUCGGAUAGUAAAGCACUUUAAGUUGGGAGGCGUUACCAACAGAAUAUGCACCGACUAACUUCGUGCCAGCAGCCGCGGUAAUAC